AAACCAACAGGGAUUGCCCCAGUAACGGCGAGUGAAGCGGCAACAGCUCAAAUUUGAAAUCUGGCCCCCUCCGCGGGGGUCCGAGUUGUAAUUUGCAGAGGAUGCUUCUGGCGCGGCGCCUUCCGAGUUCCCUGGAACGGGACGCCACAGAGGGUGAGAGCCCCGUCCGGUCGGACGCCCAGCCUAUGUGAAGCACCUUCGACGAGUCGGGUAGUUUGGGAAUGCUGCCCUAAAUGGGAGGUAUAUGUCUUCUAAAGCUAAAUACCGGCCAGAGACCGAUAGCGCACAAGUAGAGUGAUCGAAAGAUGAAAAGCACUUUGAAAAGAGGGUUAAACAGUACGUGAAAUUGUUGAAAGGGAAGCGCUCAUGACCAGACUUGGGCCCGGGGGAUCACCCGGCGUUCUUUCGCCGGGGCACUUCGCCGGCUGCCCAGGCCAGCAUCAGUUCGCGGCGGGGGACAAAGGCUUCGGGAACGUGGCUCCCUACGGGGAGUGUUAUAGCCCGCUGCGCAAUGCCCUGCCGCGGACUGAGGUUCGCGCUUCCGCAAGGAUGCUGGCGUAAUGGUCAUCAGCGAC
rnacentral:rRNA from 1 species